rnacentral:rRNA from 1 species
GACGAGCUCUCCAAACGUUGCUCGGAAUCACUGGGCGUAAAGCGUGCGUAGGCGGUUGUCUAAGUUUGGUGUGAAAUCUCCCGGCUUAACUGGGAGGGUGCGCCGAAAACUGGGUGACUGGAGUGUCGGAGAGGUAAGCGGAAUUCCUGGUGUAGCGGUGAAAUGCGUAGAGAUCAGGAGGAACACCUGUGGUGUAGACAGCUUACUGGACGAUAACUGACGCUGAGGCACGAAAGCGUGGGUAGCAAACAGG